GACGAACGCUGGCGGCGUGCUUAACACAUGCAAGUCGAACGGAAAGGCCUGCUUUCCCUUGUGGAUUGCGGGUACUCGAGUGGCGAACGGGUGAGUAACACGUGAGUGAUCUGCCCCCAACUUGGGUAUAAGCCUGGGAAACUGGGUCUAAUUCCCGAUAGGACUGCAGGGUGGUGCCUGUGGUGGAAAACGAUUUUCUAGUGGUUGGGGAGGCGCUCGCGGCCUAUCAGCUUGUUGGUGGGGUAAUGGCCUACCAAGGUGGCGACGGGUAGCCGGCCUGAGAGGGUGGACUGGACCGUUGGGACGUAGAGACAGCCCAGGACCCUACGGCGGGCAGCAGUCGGGAAUAUUGCACAAUGGGCGGAAGCCUGAUGCAGCGACGCCGCGUGGGGGAUCACGGCCUUCGGGUGGUAAACUCCUGUCGGCCGCGAGGAAGCCACCUGGUUGGAAGGGUGGUGACGGUAGUGGUAGAAGAAGCACCGGCUAACUACGUG
rnacentral:rRNA from 1 species